UGCCAAAUACAGUUUUCUCAGGAUUGUACUAGGCUGGGCUGUUAUCAGAUUGCCCAGAUUCUGCCAUUUUCAUUUACAAAACCCAUAGUUCUAGAUGCAAGCUCCCUGUACAUUAAACCAAAUAUUUAUACCUUUACAGUACAUGCCUGUUAUUGAACUGACGGUCUUUUUCCAUUCUGGGGUGGUAUGUUAUAAUGCUUGUGGCAUAUGAAAAAUGUAAAGAACUCCACAGUUGAUUGGCUGUCACAGUUUUUUCGCAUAUAAAGAACACAGGUAAAUGCUCGUCUUUGACACACAGUACUAGUGUGAACUUAGACAGUGGAUUCUAACUGUGGAGCAGCAGUAGGCCAUUACUCCCGUGUGAAAGAGGGAAGCUUGGGAUUCUGGGAGUAUAUGACCAUGAGUGUUUGUCACCUUGGAUGCCUUUAUGGUGAGGCCCAAGUGGCUGCCACCUCUUACUCUGUCAGACACCGUUUAUCGUUACCAUUAGCUGCAGGGUUGAGGGGCUGUAUGCUCUCUCCCGCACUCCUCACAGCUCUUCUGAAGGAAGGGGCUGGAGUCUGGGGUCUUAAUUCAGCUAUGAAAGGGUCUUCUCCAGUAGCUCCUAAGAGGAACUUUGGUGGUUUUAAAUCAUAUUUGCCACCUGACAUCCUAAACAUUUAUUUAGCUUAGUCACUGUCGCGCUUGACCCCGCAGAGAUAUCCGUCAAUGGUGCCAUUCUACCAGCAUCCUAGAAAAUACAGUCAUCAGACCUUUAGAACUCAGAGGGGUUUGGGGGAUGAUGGGAGGGAGGCCUGCAGUAACCGGUUUCUAUAGCAGCCUCCUCUCAUUUAGUCCCACUCCUGGAGCCACUGCCUAACUUACACAAUAGGAGUUUCUGGGACAGUGGAAGAUGAACCUCUCUGGAAGUUCAUUUUAUUUCAACUGUGUCUUAAGUACUUGAAUGUCAGGAUAUGUGACUGACAAUGUUUCUUAUACCAACCUUUACAGGGUAUAAUUUUUAAACAAUGUUCAAGUGGUAUACAAGGCUAUGUAUUGUAACAAUUAUGGGGCGUUAUGUAUUUUCCAAAGAUUGUAGUUUCUAUAUCUUGCAAAGGGAAAUAUUUUUCCUAACGUGUUUUUAUUUUGUAAGUAAUAAAAUCAUAAAAGAAAAUGUUGGUUUUUUAUGACUAUAGAAAGUGUCUCAUGACUCGUUUCUCUUCUCGACCGGGUGCUUCAAAACUCCUUUUCUAUGGGAG
rnacentral:lncRNA from 1 species